rfam:Pteropus alecto contig60703, whole genome shotgun sequence.
GUCUACGGCCAUGCUACCCUGAACAAGCCUGAUCCCACCUGAUCUCGGAAGCUAAGCAGGGUUGGGCCUGUUUAGUACUUAGAUGGGAGACCACCUAGAAAGACCAGGUGCUGUAGGCG